rnacentral:ncRNA from 1 species
UGGGUGGUGGUGCAUGGCCAUUCUUAUUUGGUGGAGCGAUUUGUCUGGUCAAUUCCAAUAAGGAAGGAGACUCUGGCAUGAUAACUAGUGAAGUGACCCCGGAGUGGUCAGCAUCCCCCAACUUCUUAGAGGGACAAGUGGCAUUCAGCCACCUGAGAUUGAGCACUAACAGGUCUGUGAUGCCCUUACAUGUCUGAGGCUGCAUGCACACUACACUGACUGGCUCAGCCUGUGCCUACUCUAUGCCAGCAUGAGUGAGUUACCCAUUGAACCCCAUUCAUGAUGGGGAUCAGGAAUUGCAAUUAUUCCCCAUGAAUGAGGAAUUCGAAGUAAGUGCAGGUCAUAAGCUUGCAUUAAUUAAGUCCCUGCCCUUUGUACACACUGCCAGUCACUACUACCAAUUGGGUGGUUUAGUGAGGCCCUCAGAUCCGCCCUGCAGGGGUCUGCCCAUGGCCCGGGCUGAUUGCUGAGAAGAAGUUGAACUUGGCUAUCUACAGGAAGUAAAAGUCCCAACAAGGUUUCUGCAGGUGAACCUGCAGAAGGAUCAUUA